GACGAACGCUGGCGGCGUGCCUAACACAUGCAAGUCGAGCGGAGUCAGUAAGAGGAAGUUUUCGGAUGGAAUCUUAUUGAUUUAGCGGCGGACGGGUGAGUAACGCGUGAGCGACCAACCUUGCACAGGGGGAUAACGGACCGAAAGGUUCACUAAUACCGCAUGAGACCACGGUGUUGCAUGACACAGAGGUCAAAGGAGCAAUCCGGUGCAAGACGGGCUCGCGUCCGAUUAGGUAGUUGGAGGGGUAACGGCCCACCAAGCCUAUGAUCGGUAGCCGACCGGAGAGGGUGAUCGGCCACGUUGGAACUGAGAUACGGUCCAAACUCCUACGGGAGGCAGCAGUGGGGAAUAUUGGGCAAUGGGGGAAACCCUGACCCAGCAACGCCGCGUGAAGGAAGAAGGUUUUCGGAUAGUAAACUUCUGUCCUUGGUGAAGAGAAGAAGACGGUAGCCAAGGAGGAAGCCCCGGCUAACUACGUGCCAGCCGCCGCAGUAA
rnacentral:rRNA from 1 species